GAUGAACGCUGGCGGCGUGCUUAACACAUGCAAGUCGAACGAAGCAACUUAUUACGAUCCCUUCGGGGUGACGAUUUGUUGACUGAGUGGCGGACGGGUGAGUAACGCGUGGGUAACCUGCCUUGUACAGGGGGACAACAGUUGGAAACGACUGCUAAUACCGCAUAAGCGCACAGCUUCGCAUGAAGCAGUGUGAAAAGUUAUUUCGGUACAAGAUGGACCCGCGUCUGAUUAGCUAGUUGGUGAGGUAACGGCCCACCAAGGCGACGAUCAGUAGCCGACCUGAGAGGGUGACCGGCCACAUUGGGACUGAGACACGGCCCAAACUCCUACGGGAGGCAGCAGUGGGGAAUAUUGCACAAUGGGCGAAAGCCUGAUGCAGCGACGCCGCGUGAGCGAAGAAGUAUUUCGGUAUGUAAAGCUCUAUCAGCAGGGAAGAUAAUGACGGUA
rnacentral:rRNA from 1 species